GGCCAAGGCAAGUGUAAAUGACUUCAUUGACCGUUGAGGCAUUUGUGCUGUACAAAGGUGUUAUCAUGCAAAGACGUGUCAUUACUAUAAUUUGCUGCAACAAGCGAUAUACCAGUGGAACUUCAAAAUCCACAUGUCAUCAAGAAACAUCAGAUGUUUGUUUGAAUCCUCAAAACAGUACCCGACUCCGCAGUUUUAAAUUCUUCGUACGAAAACAAGAACAACGUGAACUACUUGACAAGCCUGGGUAUUGCAAUGGGUCCCUCUGUUCUCCAAUGUACGUCACUUCCGGUGAAAAAGCCACGAAAAAAAGCCAACUUUGAGGCCCGAAUAAACGAAUGCGUCAUCGAAGAAAGAAUGCGUCAACAGCGCGCCAUAAUUAAGCGUUCGACCGCAUCUGAAGCUUUACCUCGAAAGGUCGCAGAGAGUGUAACAAACGAAAACUGCUCACCGAGAAACAUUCUGCGAAAUGGUGCAACAUUGCUAAAGAAGCAAGAGAUCUUAGGUCUCGCCUACAGAAACAAACAUAUAUUACGCAGCACGGUUUUUACCCUGGGUGACACAUUGGACGAGACGAGGCAGCUCGUCGUGAAGAGAAGCGUGGCGUCAUAGAAUUUCACGUCGUUGGGAACUGGCUGCGAGGACAGCUCUCUCAAAAGAAUAUUAUGUGGUUGAUUGGCUUGACAAAAAGUAUUUUCAUAUCAACUAACGCGAAUGCCGAAA
rnacentral:misc_RNA from 1 species